GCGGCGGAUGGGUGAGUAUCACGUGGGCAACCUGCCUGUAAGCUCGGGAUAACUCGCGGAAACGCGGGCUAAUACCGAAUGACCCUUGCAUCCGCAUGGAUGCAAGAUAAAAGGCGGCUUUUGCUGUCACUUACAGAUGGGCCCGCGGCGCAUUAGCUAGUUGGUGGGGUAAUGGCUCACCAAAGCGACGAUGCGUAGCCGACCUGAGAGGGUGAUCGGCCACACUGGGACUGAGACACGGCCCAGACUCCUACGGGAGGCAGCAGUAGGGAAUCUUCCGCAAUGGACGAAAGUCUGACGGAGCAACGCCGCGUGAGUGACGAAGGUCUUCGGAUCGUAAAACUCUGUUGUCAGGGAAGAACAAGCAUCGGCCGAAUAAGCCGGCGCCUUGACGGUACCUGACCAGAAAGCCCCGGCUAACUACGUGCCAGCAGCCGCGGUAAUACGUAGGGGGCAAGCGUUGUCCGGAAUUAUUGGGCGUAAAGGGCGCGCAGGCGGUCUUUUAAGUCUGAUGUGAAAUCUCGCA
rnacentral:rRNA from 1 species